GAUAAACGCUGGCGGCGUGCAUAACACAUGCAAGUCGCACGAAGUGGCGAACGGGUGAGUACCACGUUAGUAACCCGCCUUUCACAAGGGGAUAGCCUUCGGAAACGAAGAAACAUCACCUAUAGUGUAAGAUGGACUUGCGUAUGAUUAGCUAGUUGGUGGGAUAAAAGCCCACCAAGGCGACGAUCAGUAGCCGGCUUGAGAGAGUGUACGGCCACAUUGGGACUGAGACACGGCCCAAACUCUACGUGAGGCAGCAGUGGGGAAUUUUGCACAAUGGGGGAAACCCUGAUGCAGCGACGCCGCGUGAGUUAGAAGGCCUUCGGGUUGUAAAAAUCUUUUUUAUGGGAUGCAGUACCAUAAGAAUAAGGUCCGGCUAAAUACGUGCCAGCAGCCGCGGUAAUUC
rnacentral:rRNA from 1 species